UACAGAGGGUGCAAGCGUUAAUCGGAUUUACUGGGCGUAAAGCGCGCGUAGGCGGCUAAUUAAGUCAAAAUGUGAAAUCCCCCGAGCUUAACUUGGGAAUUGCAUUCGAUACUGGUUAGCUAGAGUGUGGGAGAGGAUGGUAGAAUUCCAGGUGUAGCGGUGAAAUGCGUAGAGAUCUGGAGGAAUACCGAUGGCGAAGGCAGCCAUCUGGCCUAACACUGACGCUGAGGUGCGAAAGCGUGGGGAGCGAACAGG
rnacentral:rRNA from 1 species